AUUCUCCUCCUCUUCCUCCUCCUCCUCCGCCGCCAUGACAGGCGGGGCUGGGGCAGCCGGAGAACAUGGCGAGCCCUGAGGGGUAGAGCAGAGGCGCUGUGGCGCUGUGUCCUGCAUCCAUUUUGCCGAGCUGUGAGGGGAAUCAGGAGUGCAGGGCUGUGGAUGUGCGGCUUUUACUCCUUUCCUCCCCUCAGAUUUGCUCUGAAUGUCUCUGCUCAUCCCACUGGGUUUACUCGGUGUCUGGCAGCUCUCUGAGACGAUUAAAGCCUUUUCCAGCCCCUCGAAUAUUUGUUUCGGGCUUUUCGGCCUUAAAUGUCCCCAUGAAAGUACAGAGUCACGGAAUUGUUUGGGUCCCAUCCAGCCCAAGGCAGGUUCACAUGGAGCAGGUGUCACAGGAAUGUGUCCCGGUGGGUUUGGAUGCAGUGAGGGGAGACUCCAUGACCUCCCUGGGCAGCUGAUCCGCCUGUGCUCUGCCACCCUCAAUGUAAAGAAGGUCUUACUCAUCUUGAAGUUAAACUUCUUGUAUUUUAGUUUAUGGCCAUUGCUUCUUGUCCUGUUGCUGGGCACCACCAAAAAGUCCAGCGCCAUCCUCUUGACACCCACCACUGAGAUACUUCUGUGUAUUAAUGAGACCUCUUCUCAGUCUUUACACUCAACAGGACCAGCUCCUGCAAUCAGGAGAUAAAAGAGAUAAAAGAGAUACUCCAGUCCCUGUUCUUGUCCAGGGGCUUUGAAGGGGGAAAAAGAUGUGGCAGUUAAGCACAGAAAGAUGAAGUUGUUUGUUCCAGGUCAUCCAACAAAGCAUUGGCAGACAAAAAAAAAUAGAAUUGAGUCCUUCAGUGCUUUUUCUGUUGCAUCACUCUCUUCCUGUUUUGAUGAAAACUUCUAAAAUGUCAUUUUCAUAGAUCUUACAGACCAUCCUGGAAUCGACUGCUUAUGAUUGCUUUGGAAAGCUCACCUCUUUUUGCAUCUGCACCACCAAGCAAUGACAGACUGUUGGUUUGGAGCAGUCUCACCCCCUCCACUCCAGA